UCAUCUACAUAAUGUCAAACCUGAGACAAAUACAAUUUACUACUUUUCUCUUACUUGGCCGUUCGAGAUGCAGAAAUUAGCGGUCAAAUCACCCUCAAAUCACCCCACUUUUUCGUUUUGAGAAAAAGGACAUACUGUGUCGGCAAAACAAUAAAAGAUGGAUGGUCACGGCCAAAAUGGCUUUGUUGAUUGUAUUGUAGGUCUUUUUGAAGUGGAAUGUCAAGUAUGUAUUUGUCCCAAGUCUGCUUCUUGAAAGCUGAUCGGAGUGAGAAAACAACAACAGCGGUAACGACUACAGCAGUAACAGCUACGUUAACAACAACUCCAAUAUCAACAGCGGCAUCAGCAGCACCACAACGGUCUUGAACCAACAAGACAGCUUUUUAUGUUUGAUUUGAGAGAAAUAUUAGCGAAAUCUCUUUCAGAUAAUCACACUGUAGCGUCUGAGAAAA